rnacentral:lncRNA from 1 species
CUCAAGUUGAGGCUAAAAAUUCGGAGUAUGACUUCUUUGGCUAAAAAUUGAUUUGUGCAAAUACUUCAACUCUAUUUCACUCCUUUGACCUCGAAAUUACAUACAAUUGAUCAUAUGUGAUCUCCAAUCAUCAUUUUAUGGUGAUUGGAUUAAAUGUCUUCAAUAUAGUAAUGAAAUACAACAAAUUCAAUCAAAUCACAUUCUAAGUCAAUUUAUACCACUCAACAAUAAAAUAUAGUUCUCCAGGAAACUACAACUCAAACACACGUCUUUGAUAAUUGCUCUUGAAAUUAUGCUACUAUUUCCUCCAUCCGUGCUAGCAAGAGUGCAGAAGGAUAAUGUAUCUACAAAUUACCUCGUCCUAGUAUCUGACAAACUGUCUUGUGUUGCCUUUCCUACCGUAUGGAUUUUUCUCACUGAACCCAUUUUGUUUGCCUUCGACUCUUUUCACCUUCUUGAAUUUUGAUGCUCUAUUGUCUAUGUUCAAGUUUACUUUCGGAGGAGAUGAUAAACAGAAUGAAGCAACUAUAGCCUGCAGCCUCAGUUUUGCUGACAGCCGCAGUGUAAGGGUUUAAUUCUUGAGAUAUGGAAUUGGACUCUUUGUGGGCACAGUGUACGGGCAAACUCUUGUUCCUUGGUCUGUUGGGACACAUCCUGCGAUUUACCUCCCUCACGAUACGCUAAAAGCGGGGUAGUGGGGCCCUCAAGGUUGAGGAUCAACCUUUUUUUUAAGAGUGCAGAAGGAUAGUUGUUCAGAACAUGCAAAUCAAUAUAAGAGGAUUGCUUGUGUGGUUAAAACGUAGGGAAAAGUUAUGGGGAAACAUAAAAAAUAUUCUCAAUAUCAGCUAAAAAAUUGUGAGCACAAUGUUAGUGUACUACCUUCACACAGAAGGUUAGUGGAUACACAUGCACUAUAUAUAUGUAGUUCAAGACUUUGUCGUGAUGGGUGACCUACCACCAUAAAAUUAUAUGCAAGAAAAAUGUCUAGUUUAAAAUAAUGGUAUGGCUACAAAAUUAUGAGUUG